GUCGCUCGGCUACCGCGCCAUGCUGUCAUCGUGUGGUAUCUGUUCGUAUCAGCUUAACAUCUGAUAGAUCCUCCAUCGGAGGACAACAAAUGUUAAACUGAUUUUUGGAAAUGGGCGGAGUGUUUUAGGGGCGGCUUGCUCCACCUCUGCCACGGGUUGGCCCGGUAUUGCAGUACCGCCGGGAUUUCGGCCUUGAAUAA